UGACACCUUUGUGAUGUCAGCAGCCUCAGGAGACUGCCUGGCGGAGGCAAGAGCCGCCUCGCCUCUGCCUGUGGGUGGUGUGGGGGUGUUUUGUGUAUCUCGGCAUGUGAUCCUCCCAGCCCAAUUAGCUGCAUAGGAGGACACCCACCUUACAAAUGAAGAUAGAGCUACGACUGCCCAGAGUCACACAGCAGUGGCACGGGAAGCUGCAGAAUGGCUUAGGCAGAGGGAUGAUUUGAAAAGACCCUCCUGGCUGCAGUGUGGUGAAUAGACUCUCAAGGAACAAGAGUGGAAUGGAAGAAGACCAGCUGGCUAUUGGCAGAAUCAGGAAGCAGGAGACAGUGGCUUGGUGCGGGGUGGUAAGCUCCUUCCUUCCAAUGCAGUUUAACAAAGAGAGAGACACUGGGAACUCCUCAGAAGCCUUGGAGGAAGCAGACAUCCGAAAGUGAGCCAGAGACAAUGUAUGUGUAUAGGCAACUUGAUGAUUUGUCUCGUUCUGGAAAUAAUGUCUUAACACACAUGUCGACACAGAUGUGGGCCACUUGGAUCCUCCUUCAGGAGACACCCUGUCUGCAGUUGUUCACUCCUCCUGGACUGGUCCCAGCAUUUGAGCCACAGUCCCUUAUUCUAAGAGAAGCCCAGCCUGUACUGGCAAGUUUGUGCCAUAGCAACCUGGCUAUUUCCUCCAGCAUGGGACCUUCUAAUGGCCAGUGUUCUCUGCUACCUGCUGGGCUGCCAAAGAUUUUCUACUUAUGCAUUGUAAUUUGAGGGCUCUCCUUCAUGAUCCUGCUGUUUCUCCUUUUCUUUCACAGGUAUUAUUCCCCAGUAAAUCCAUUUGCUCUCCUAAGUUCUCCUUAUUGUCUACAUUCUGGAGAAUCUAGCCUGUUCACUCAUAUAGUUCUAGAAUUGAGAUCAUAUUGUAAGUACAGUAUACAUCUAUCUAUCUAUCUACAUAUAUAUAUUUAUUCUUUCAAUAAAAUUUUUCA